rnacentral:rRNA from 1 species
AUUGAACGCUGGCGGCGUGCUUAACACAUGCAAAUCGAUCGGUAACGCGGGGGCAACCCUGGCGACGAGAGGCGGACGGGUGAGGAACGCUUGGGAAUCUGCCCUUCAGCGGGGGACAACCCGGGGAAACUCGGGCUAAUACCGCAUACGCUCCAUGGAGGAAAGCCGGGGACCGCAAGGCCUGGCACUGAAGGAUGAGCCCAAGCCGGAUUAGCUAGUUGGCGGGGUAACGGCCCACCAAGGCGACGAUCCGUAGCUGGUCUGAGAGGACGAUCAGCCACACUGGGACUGAGACACGGACCAGACUCCUACGGGAGGCAGCAGUGGGGAAUAUUGGACAAUGGGCGAAAGCCUGAUCCAGCGACGCCGCGUGGGUGAAGAAGGCCUGCGGGUUGUAAAGCCCUUUCGGUAGGGACGAAAGCUCUCGACCUAACACGUCGGGAGGAUGACUUAACCUACAAAAGAAGCACCGGCUAACUCUGUGCCAGCCGCCGCGGUAAAAC